rnacentral:ncRNA from 1 species
CUCGCGGGAGAGAUCGGGGCCUUCGGGACCCCGGAGCCGAAGGCGCAACCGCCCCGGAAACGCUCAGGCAAAAGGACCGCGCGG